rnacentral:tRNA from 1 species
GCCUGGGUGGCUCAGUGGUUGAGCGUCUGCCUGCAGCUCAGGGCAUGAUCCUGGAGUCUUGGGAUUGAGUCCCAAUUCAGACU